rnacentral:rRNA from 1 species
AGAGUUUGAUCAUGGCUCAGAACGAACGCUGGCGGCAUGCCUAACACAUGCAAGUCGAACGCUCCUGGGGCUUAGGUCUCAGGGAGGGCGCACGGGUGAGUAGCGCGUGGGAACCUGCCCUGUUGUGGGGGAUAACCGAGGGAAACUUCGGCUAAUACCGCAUAAGCCGGGAAACCGGGAAAGAUUUAUCGCGACAGGAGGGGCCCGCGUCGGAUUAGGUAGUUGGUAGGGUAACGGCCUACCAAGCCUGUGAUCCGUAGCUGGUCUGAGAGGAUGAUCAGCCACACUGGGACUGAGACACGGCCCAGACUCCUACGGGAGGCAGCAGUGGGGAAUAUUGGACAAUGGGCGCAAGCCUGAUCCAGCAAUGCCGCGUGAGUGAUGAAGGCCUUAGGGUUGUAAAGCUCUUUCGCCCGCGACGAUGAUGACGGUAGCGGGAGAAGAAGCCCCGGCUAACUUCGUGCCAGCAGCCGCGGUAAUACGAAGGGGGCGAGCGUUGUUCGGAUUUACUGGGCGUAAAGGGCGCGUAGGCGGCCCUCCUUGUCGCGUGUGAAAGCCCCGGGCUCAACCUGGGAAUUGCGCGCGAAACGGGGGGGCUUGAGUUCGGGAGAGGAGCGUGGAAUUCCCAGUGUAGAGGUGAAAUUCGUAGAUAUUGGGAAGAACACCGGGCGAAGGCGGCNNNNUGGACCGAGACUGACGCUGAGGCGCGAAAGCGUGGGGAGCAAACAGGAUUAGAUACCCUAGUAGUCC